rnacentral:rRNA from 1 species
AUAUUGGUCAAUGGGCGAGAGCCUGAACCAGCCAUGCCGCGUGAAGGAUGAAGGCGUUCUGCGUUGUAAACUUCUUUUAUCGGGGAAGAAACCUGAGAUUUCUAUUUCAGCCGACGGUACCCGAUGAAUAAGCACCGGCUAACUCCGUGCCAGCAGCCGCGGUAAUACGGAGGGUGCAAGCGUUAUCCGGAUUUACUGGGUUUAAAGGGUGUGUAGGCGGGCCGUUAAGUCAGGGGUGAAAUCCCGGAGCUCAACUCCGGAACUGCCUUUGAUACUAUCGGUCUUGAAUAUUGUUGAGGUGGGCGGAACGGGUCAUGUAGCGGUGAAAUGCAUAGAUAUGACCCGGAACACCGAUUGCGAAGGCAGCCCGCUAAGCAAUGAUUGACGCUGAGGCACGAAAGCGUGGGGAUCAAACAGG